CCUACGGGUGGCUGCAGUGAGGAAUAUUGGUCAAUGGGCGCGAGCCUGAACCAGCCAAGUAGCGUGAAGGAUGACUGCCCUACGGGUUGUAAACUUCUUUUAUAAAGGAAUAAAGUGAGGCACGUGUGCCUUUUUGUAUGUACUUUAUGAAUAAGGAUCGGCUAACUCCGUGCCAGCAGCCGCGGUAAUACGGAGGAUCCGAGCGUUAUCCGGAUUUAUUGGGUUUAAAGGGAGCGUAGGCCGGCUUUUAAGUCAGCUGUGAAAGUCCGCGGCUCAACCGUGGAAUUGCAGUUGAAACUGGAGGCCUUGAGUACACACAGGGAUGCCGGAAUUCAUGGUGUAGCGGUGAAAUGCUUAGAUAUCAUGAAGAACUCCGAUCGCGAAGGCAAGUGUCCGGGGUGCAACUGACGCUGAGGCUCGAAAGUGCGGGUAUCAAACAGGAUUAGAUACCCCAGUAGUC
rnacentral:rRNA from 1 species